rnacentral:rRNA from 1 species
UACGGAGGGGGCUAGCGUUGUUCGGAAUUACUGGGCGUAAAGCGCACGUAGGCGGCUUUUUAAGUCAGGGGUGAAAUCCUGGAGCUCAACUCCAGAACUGCCUUUGAUACUGGGAAUCUCGAGUCCGGAAGAGGUGAGUGGAACUGCGAGUGUAGAGGUGAAAUUCGUAGAUAUUCGCAAGAACACCAGUGGCGAAGGCGGCUACUGGUCCGGUACUGACGCUGAGGCGCGAAAGCGUGGGGAGCAAACAGG